GUUCGUAGGCGGUUUAAUAAGUUGGAUAUGAAAGACCGGAGCUCAACUUCGUGUUUGUGUUCAAAACUGUUAAACUAGAAUCAGGGAGAGGUAAGUAGAAUUCUAAGUGUAGGGGUGCAAUCCGUAGAUACUUAGAGGAAUACCAAAAGCGAAGGCAACUUACUGGAACUGUAUUGACGCUGAGGAACGAAAGCGUGGGUAGCGAAAAGGAUUAGAUACCCUUGUAGUCCACGCCCUAAACGAUGAUAACUAAGUGUUGCUCCUAGAGGGCAGUGCUGAAGCUAACGCAAUAAGUUAUCCACCUGAGGAGUACGGUCGCAAGAUUAAAACUCAAAGGAAUAGACGGGGACCCACACAAGCAGUGGAUCACGUGGUUUAAUUCGACAAUAAACGGGGAACCUUACCCAGACUUGACAUCCUAAGAAUCUUCUAGAGAUAGAAGAGUGCCUUUAUUGGAACUUAGUGACAGGUGCUGCAUGGUUGUUGUCAGCUCGUGCCUUGAGGUGUUCGGUUAAGUCCGUUAACGAGCGCAACCCAUGUCCUUAGUUAUUAUGUCUAAGGAGACUGCCUUGGUUAACAAGGAGGAAGGUGUGGAUGACGUCAAGUCCUCAUGGC
rnacentral:rRNA from 1 species